rnacentral:rRNA from 1 species
CCUACGGGAGGCUGCAGUGGGGAAUAUUGCACAAUGGGGGAAACCCUGAUGCAGCGACGCCGCGUGAGUGAAGAAGUAUUUCGGUACGUAAAGCUCUAUCAGCAGGGAAGAAUAUGACGGUACCUGACUAAGAAGCCCCGGCUAACUACGUGCCAGCAGCCGCGGGAAUACGUAGGGGGCAAGCGUUAUCCGGAUUUACUGGGUGGAAAGGGAGCGUAGACGGCAGCGCAAGUCUGGAGUGAAAGCCCAGGGCUUAACCAUGGAACUGCUUUGGAAACUGUUCAGCUAGAGUGCAGGAGAGGUAAGCGGAAUUCCUAGUGUAGCGGUGAAAUGCGUAGAUAUUAGGAGGAACACCAGUGGCGAAGGCGGCUUACUGGACUGUAACUGACGUUGAGGCUCGAAAGCGUGGGGAGCAAACAGGAUUAGAUACCCCGGUAGUC